UUGCCGGCUGGCUUGUGUUUUACUUGAAAAUCCAACUAGAUUUUACACUAAUUCCUAUACAAGUGUGCUACCGUGAUAAACGAUGAUUUUAUACUUGCUUUUUUUUUUUUUUUUUCAACUACUCUUUCGACGAUCCAAACACAAUAUCUAAAUAUUCUAUGAUAUUUCGAUGUAUAUCGAAAAUGUUGUACAAAGAAUAAGGAUAUUAUUAUAACGGCUUAGUGCAUAUGGAAUGUGAGUAGAAUAAAAAAAGAGUAGAAUAAGCGUAGGAUUAUUUGGCAGAUUGGCAUCGUUUCCUAGUCGAUAAAUAGCAGAGAAAUCUUGUUAAUUCUCGGUCGCAGUGUUAUAAGCUCGUGCUCGAAAUUUGCGAUUAGCAAACGACUAUUGAACGCAUAUAGGCUGGAAGAGUCAGCUGUAAUCAGCGAGCAACGAUCAUGAGUCCGUGACAAGCAAGCGAUAUUACGAUGCGAUAUUACGAUGCGAUAUUACCAUGCGAUAUUACGAUGCCAUAUUACGAUGUAAUCUUAUGACCCCUUUUUCAUCCUCGUAUUUACAAUAUUUGAGAGGAGAAAAAAGAAAGAAAGGAAAGAUUAUAACGCGGUAUACCGCCGAGUUAGAACAGAAUUGCGAGAUUUACGAGAGAAUGGCAAAAAUAUGCUGCUUGUUGUCUCCAAAAUAUUGGUGCAAGCAAAAUUUACAGAGGAGAUUGCAUAGACGGUGCUGCUCGUGUCUACAAAACGGUGCAGCAUCCUUUUUAUUUUACGAUGUGGCUUUUGGGUGCUGCUAUGCUUUACAACUUUGAACGGAUGAAAUAUUGGGGUGCAUUUCAGCUGAAAAUGUCUUCAUAAAUUCGUAGGGGAUAUUUCGAAAUUCGAAAAUGACAUCGAUAGGAUGAUGAUGCCUAGGGCAACUUUAAUACACAAACGCACGAAAGUCGUCCUUUUUAAUCGACUCGCUGGACUGCUAAUUACCCUCGUUAUAUUGAUUAGCUUCGAAUUCAUUUGAUUCAAUAGUACAAGCUUAAUUACCAAGGAAAUGUGCCACAAUCGAAUGGAAUUGUAUCGUUGUGUUGUCAAUAUUGCAACACCGAUCAGACAAAUGUAUUAUAUUAGAAAAUUGUUGCAUUGUAUAAUAGAUGCGCAAUCAGCAAUCAAUUGCAAUGCAUCAAUCGAACAAGAUAAACGUUAUUACCAACUGAAUAUGGCCUUCAAUACCGAAAUAACCAGUUUUCCUCGAAUCCUGGCGGUUCAUUUCGAAAUAAAAACCAAAUUCAAUCGUCGAUAUUUACGAAGUUUCUCUCGCUCAUUGGAAAAAUUGUCUGGAAAAUGUAUGCUGAAAAUUAUUGUUAGUUCUUAUGUAAACGCAUCGAAGAAAACGAUACACUCAAGUAUGUAUGUACAAUUUCAAAGAUAACGAUUGAAAACAUGUUUUUAAGUGACGUUUCGCAGCAUAAUACAAUUUUUUUGUUAUUUAAAUGCUUACAACAACAAAGUGAAACGAAGAGAAAUGCCUCCAAGUUUAGGAGGCUGUAAUAAAAAA